rnacentral:rRNA from 2 species
AAUUUUUUAUGACUCUCGACAACGGAUAUCUUGGCUCUUGCAUCGAUGAAGAACGCAGCGAAAUGCGAUAAGUGGUGUGAAUUGCAGAAUCCCGUGAACCAUCGAGUCUUUGAACGCAAGUUGCGCCCGAUGCCAUCAGGCUAAGGGCACGCCUGCCUGGGCGUCG